rnacentral:rRNA from 1 species
UUAACUCAAUUAUUAAAAAUUAUGAAAUGUUUUGUAAUUUUUUUUUGGAAAAGGGAAAGUUGCAAAGGACUUUGAAGAGAGAGUUCAAGAGAACGUGAAAUCGCUGGAGUGGAACCGGAGACAGUUGAUGUUGCUUGGAGACAAGUUUGGUGGCUGGUCGCUUAGUUGUGAUCGUCGCCGGAUGUCGUUUCCUAUGCUACGCCGACGGCGUUGGUCGCUCGUUCUGGCCCGAUAGUGUUGCCCAGCUCGCAAGAGUCGGUGUCUUGUUAUCGGUCGUUGGUUCGUGGUGGCUAGCGUUUAGUUACGCUAGUGUGUGUGACGUCGGUGUGAAAGUCGACGACGUUUCCGACCCGUCUUGAAACACGGAUUGCGGAGUGCUUGUCUACUGCGAGUCAAAGGGUGUUAAAACCUUGCGGCGAAAUGAAAGUGAAGGUCAGUCUUGAAUUGGCCGACGUGGGAUCGGUGCUCCUCGGAGUGCUGCGCACCACGGCCCUGUGCGUGUCACUUGUGACUGUGCAGAGGUUGAGCAGUUGGCAAACGACCCGAAAGAUGGUGAACUAUGCCUGAGCAGGAUGAAGCCAGAGGAAACUCUGGUGGAAGUCCGUAUCGGUUCUGACGUGCAAAUCGAUCGAUAGACUUGGGUAUAGGGGCGAAAGACUAAUCGAACCAUCUAGUAGCUGGUUCCUGGCUUCACGGCCUUUUUUCGAAGCAUUAAGCGGAGCCAUUUUAUGGCACCGUGACUCUCCUCGAAGACAGUGUCAAGCGGGGAGUUUGACUGGGGCGGUACAUCUAUCAAAUCGUAACGUAGGUGUCCUAAGGCGAGCUCAGAGAGGACGGAAACCUCUCGUAGAGCAAAAGGGCAAAAGCUUGCUUGAUCUUGACUUUCAGUACGAGUACAGACCGCGAAAGCGUGGCCUAUCGAUCCUUUUAAUCCUGAUUGUUUCAGGUAAGAGGUGUCAGAAAAGUUACCACAGGGAUAACUGGCUUGUGGCAGCCAAGCGUCCAUAGCGACGUUGCUUUUUGAUCCUAGGCCAGGAAAAAGAAAUCCUAAAAAACAGAUUCUAAAACUUCGUAAGCAUUUUCAGAAUCUUUCAGAAAAUUCGAGUACCUAAAUGUUUUGGAACUAGAGAAAACGCUAUAAAAUAAAAUUUUAAAAACUUUUUUCUUAAAUUUCUAAAUUAAAGAUAUCGCAUUACUAAUCAAAAAGUGGUCAAAAACUAUAUUUCUGAUAAAUUUUCUCAUCGGACCGAAAAUUUUA